GGAUAACCUACCCUUAGGACUGGGAUAACCCUGGGAAACUGGGGAUAAUACUAGAUAGGCAAUUUUUCCUGGAAUGGUUUUUUGUUUAAAUGUUUUUUCGCCUAAGGAUGGGUCUGCGGCCGAUUAGGUAGUUGGUUAGGUAACGGCUUACCAAGCCAUUGAUCGGUACGGGUUGUGAGAGCAAGAGCCCGGAGAUGGAACCUGAGACAAGGUUCCAGGCCCUACGGGAUGCAGCAGGCGCGAAACCUCCGCAAUGUGAGAAAUCGCGACGGGGGGAUCCCAAGUGCCAUUCUUAACGGGAUGGCUUUUCAUUAGUGUAAAGAGCUUUUGGAAUAAGGGCUGGGCAAGACCGGUGCCAGCCGCCGCGGUAACACCGGCAGCUCUAGUGGUAGCAGUUUUUAUUGGGCCUAAAGCGUCCGUAGCCGGUUUAAUAAGUCUCUGGUGAAAUCCUGUAGCUUAACUGUGGGAAUUGCUGGAGAUACUAUUAGACUUGAGACCGGGAGAGGUUAGAGGUACUCCCAGGGUAGAGGUGAAAUUCUGUAAUCCUGGGAGGACCGCCUGUUGCGAAGGCGUCUAACUGGAACGGUUCUGACGGUGAGGGACGAAAGUUAGGGGCGCGAACCGGAUUAGAUACCCGGGUAGUCCUAACUGUAAACGAUGC
rnacentral:rRNA from 1 species